AUGGCGUCUCCCUCCGACUCCCACUCCGCCACGGGCGGCGGCGGCACCGCCGCGGCUGCACGAUCGGAUCUAGGUGAUUGUCUCGAAUAGUUGGAUCUGAACGAUGAUGACUUCGCUGAUGUGGAAAUCGAUGAGGAUGACCCUGAGAUUCAAGAAAGCGUCCGCUGGCUUGACCUAGCCAGGGUUCAGACUAGCAGGAACUUCAGUCCAUCUGCCUUCUACAAGGACAUGAGGGCGGCAUGGAACCCCGCUCAGGAAGUAAGAUUUCGGCCAGUUGGCCCUAAUCAUUUUGUCGUCCAAACAUCUUGUUUGGGGGAUUGGGAACGCAUUAUGAAGCAAGGACCUUGGCUUUUCCGCAAUAUGGCUGUGCUCUUAUGCCCUUAUGACAGCUUCAGCAAGGCGGAGGAGGUGGAAUUCUUCCAUAUCCCAAUUUGGUUGCAGAUUCACAAGCUACCAAACCCUUAUUGCAAGCAAAAUAUCGUGGACAAGCUGUUGAAAGAUGCAUGAGAAAUUUUGGAGGUGCGUUUGAACGGAAACACCCGUGGUGACUAUGUUAGGGUUCGGGUGAGACAUGAUAUCUGAAAGCCCACAAAGUACGUCAGUAUUGUUCGGGCAAAGGAGCGCCAGGUAUACCUGGUUCGAUAUGAGAAACUUGCUAGGUUUUGUAAGUUUUGUGGCCUUAUUGGUCAUGAUCACAAAGAGUGCGGCCUGGGCAUCCAUGAUGAGAAGGAUCUCAAGUUUGGGAACUGGAUUUAUGCAGAUGCUCCCAAUAAGCCUCGACCAUAA
rnacentral:rRNA from 1 species